rnacentral:rRNA from 1 species
GAUGAACGCUGGCGGCGUGCCUAAUACAUGCAAGUCGAGCGAACAGACGAGGAGCUUGCUCCUCUGACGUUAGCGGCGGACGGGUGAGUAACACGUGGAUAACCUACCUAUAAGACUGGGAUAACUUCGGGAAACCGGAGCUAAUACCGGAUAAUAUAUUGAACCGCAUGGUUCAAUAGUGAAAGACGGUUUUGCUGUCACUUAUAGAUGGAUCCGCGCCGCAUUAGCUAGUUGGUAAGGUAACGGCUUACCAAGGCAACGAUGCGUAGCCGACCUGAGAGGGUGAUCGGCCACACGGGAACUGAGACACGGUCCAGACUCCUACGGGAGGCAGCAGUAGGGAAUCUCCCGCAAUGGGCGAAAGCCUGACGGAGCAACGCCGCGUGAGUGAUGAAGGUCUUCGGAUCGUAAAACUCUGUUAUUAGGGAAGAACAAAUGUGUAAGUAACUAUGCACGUCUUGACGGUACCUAAUCAGAAAGCCACGGCUAACUACGUG